GAACGUUUCUCACUUUGCUCCCGACUGUUGACCUGUUCGCAUUGUGUUGUUCCGCUAGUGAUUUUGGUUAAGUUGUGGCCAAUCCUAGGAAGAUUAACAUAAAACUAAAGCUUUGCGUGUUAUAUAACGUUUCAAGUGGUAAACGAGUGAUUCAGAGAGAUAUCUGACAGCAAAUGGAGGUAGCUAAGCCAGAGGUUAACGGUAAUCCGCUACCUCAGCGGCAGCCGAACAGUGGCAACGCUGGAGCGCAACAGAAAGGUAAUCAGAACCAAGGUGGUGCCGGUAACCAGAACAAAGGCGGUGGUGCCGGUAACCAGAAUAAAGGCGCUGGUAACCAGAAUCAAGGCGGUGGUGCCGGUAACCAGAACAAAGGCCCUGGUAACCAGAACCAAGGCGGUGGUAAUCAGAACCAAGGUGGCGGUGGUCCCGGUAACCAGAACAAAGGUGGUGGCCCCGGUAACCAGAAUCAAGGUGGUGGUUCCGGUAACCAGAAUCAAGGCGGCAAUCAGCAGGGCAACCGAGGACAGAACCAGAAUCGAGGUGGCGGCGGCGGAAACCAGAACAAAAACCGCGGUGGAAACCAGAACCGAUUUAACAAUCGAAAUCAGCAGGGCGGCGGAGGCGGUGGUAAUCGACAGAACAAUCCAGACGGUGGCAAUGAAGGAAACAAUCAACAGCAAGGCCGCCAAGGUGGCCAGGGAAACCGUGGCGGUAACAGGAACCGCAACAAUCAAAGCGGCGAUGGCGAUCAAAACUUUGAUCGGCGCCGCAUGGGCCCGGGCGAGCAGUACUUUAUCAACGAAAAGCUGCGCAUGCUGCAGGGACCGUUGCUGGAUAUUCCACCAAUUGAAAAUGAGACAGUUAAAUUUUCCGGUAGGAACCGGCUGUACAUUGGUAACCUGACAAAUGAUGUAACCGAGGAGGAGCUAGUUGAGUUGUUCAAACCGUACGGUGACAUUAGCGAGUUGUUCAUGAACAAAGAUAAAAAUUACGCCUUUGUGCGCGUAGACUACUUCUCGAACGCGGAAAAAGCCAAGAGAGAACUAGACGGAACAUCGCGCAAGAAUCGUAUUUUAAGAGUACGCUUCGCCCCAAAUGCGACCGCACUUCGCGUAAGAAAUUUGACACCGUUUGUCAGCAAUGAGUUGCUGUACAAAGCCUUUGAAGUAUUCGGACCGCUGGAGCGUGCCUCCGUUCAGAUCGAUGAGCGUGGUAAAUCUACUGGUGAAGGUAUUGUCGAGUUCAAGAAUAAACCAGGCGCUAUGUCCGCCUUGCGUUACUGCACUGAGAAGUGCUACUUCAUAACCUCUUCUCUGCGGCCGUGUAUUGUUGAACCCUACACUUACCAGGAUGACACCGAUGGUUUACCGGAGAAAUCGCUGAACAAGAAAUUCCCGGAGUUCCUGAAGUCCCGCCAGGUUGGGCCGCGUUUCGCUGAAGUAGGAUCUUUCGAACACGAAUACGGUCAGCGUUGGAAGCACAUGCAUGAGCUGUACAAGCAGAAGGCCGAAGCUCUAAAGCGCGAGAUGAUCAUGGAGGAGGAAAAGCUUGAAGCCCAAAUGGAGUUCGCUCGCUACGAGCAUGAGACCGAGCAGCUGCGAGAACAACUUCGUAUGCGUGAGCAGGAUCGCGACCGCCAAAAAGCCGAAUGGGAAAUGAAGGAACGCCAGGCCACGGAAGCCAAGACACGUAACGAUCUGCAGAUGAAACUUGACGUUGAAGAAAUGCAGAACCGCAUCAAACGUACCGAUGAUGAGUUGCAUCGGCGUCAACAGGAGAAUAAUGUCUUUAUGCAGAAUCAACAACUCGGCGGUGGUAUGGAUAAUGCCGAUAACAAUCGCCGACCAUUCGAUCUCAUGGGCGGUGGAGGUGGCGGUAAUGCUGGUAACUUUGGCGGAAUGUUGCAGGCCAUGCAGAGGAAUCUAUUCCCUAGGAAGUCCUCAAGAAAGGUCUUCUGAGAACAAAUGAUCGAUGCCAGUAUCUGUACACUAAUCCGUUCCAUCGUACCGAAAAACUGUUCGGUCAAGAAGUAGUGCAGCGUGGAUCAUUAAGUCGUUGUUUUGCUUGCAGCAGAAGCUAUCGACAGAGCGUUCUAUAUGUAACGAGGUCGAGAAUUGAAACGGCUCCUGGAACAACACAAGGCCAGUUACAUUCUCGAUUACUUCAUGGCGUGUAUGACAUGAAGCAAAAUAAGUUUUUCUUCAAUUCAGUCAUCUCGUUCGUGGGGUAUCCGAUGAAAGUCAAGCGUCUAAGAAUGAUGCGUCACAAAGCUGCUGUUUCGAAACCUGGGUUUCAUCGUGUGAUUGCAUUGCAGAUGUUCUAAAUCCUCCGGAAGAGGUUUGCGGAAAUGGAGCUUGAGACUACUAUGCUUGUUUUGAGCAAACAGAAACCAAUGUACAAUAUUUUGUAAAUAAACUGUAACUAGCUCUAUUUACGUAUACAAUAAAACAUAUAAGAAAA